rnacentral:rRNA from 1 species
UCAAUAGCGUAUACUUAAAGUUGUUGCCGUUAAAAAGCUCGUAGUUGAACCUUGGACCUGGCUGAUCUGUCUUCCUAAUCGAGCGCACGGAUUCGGUCGGGUCUUUCCUUCUAGGGAGAGCCCUAUGCCCUUCACUGGGUGUAGUGGGAGAACCAGGACUUUUACCUUGAAAAAAUUAGAGUGUUCAAAGCAGGCCUUUGCUCGAAUACAUUAGCAUGGAAUAAUAGAAUAGGACAUCGGUUCUAUUUUGUUGGUUUCUAGGACCGCUGUAAUGAUUAAUAGGGAUAGUCGGGGGCGUCAGUAUUCAAUUGUCAGAGGUGAAAUUCUUGGAUUUAUUGAAGACUAACUACUGCGAAAGCAUUCGCCAAGGAUGUUUUCAUUAAUCAGUGAACGAAAGUUAGGGGAUCGAAGACGAUCAGAUACCGUCGUAGUCUUAACCAUAAACUAUGC